rnacentral:rRNA from 1 species
GAACGGGUGAGUAACACGUGGGUAACCUGCCCUCCACUCUGGGAUAACUCCGGGAAACCGGGGCUAAUACCGGAUACGACCUGAGGCGGCAUCGCCUCGGGUGGAAAGUUUUUCGGUGGAGGAUGGACCCGCGGCCUAUCAGCUUGUUGGUGGGGUAACGGCCUACCAAGGCGAUGACGGGUAGCCGGCCUGAGAGGGCGACCGGCCACACUGGGACUGAGACACGGCCCAGACUCCUACGGGAGGCAGCAGUGGGGAAUAUUGCACAAUGGGCGAAAGCCUGAUGCAGCGACGCCGCGUGAGGGAUGACGGCCUUCGGGUUGUAAACCUCUUUCAGCAGGGACGAAGCGCAAGUGACUGUACCUGCAGAAGAAGCACCGGCUAACUACGUGCCAGCAGCCGCGGUAAUACGUAGGGUGCGAGCGUUGUCCGGAAUUAUUGGGCGUAAAGAGCUUGUAGGUGGCUCGUUGCGUCGGGAGUGAAAACCCGCGGCUUAACCGCGGGCCUGCUUCCGAUACGGGCGAGCUAGAGUUCGGCAGGGGAGACUGGAAUUCCUGGUGUAGCGGUGGAAUGCGCAGAUAUCAGGAGGAACACCGGUGGCGAAGGCGGGUCUCUGGGCCGAUACUGACACUGA